ensembl:lncRNA
AGGUGUUCAGGGCUACUUCAUAAUUACAGACAGGUGUAUGAAGAAUUCAAUCGAGUGGUUGGGAAGAACCUUGAACAAGAAUUCUGUCCUUCGUCACUGUCCACAGCUGAUUCAGAUCAGAUUUUGAGCAAUCUUCUGCAACAAACCAAGACCUGUGACCUCGCUGACAUGUGAUGUGUUGCAAUGAGAGGGCUUCCAGUUGUAUGCUUUGCUUCUGAUGAUGGAGACACAUACCAACAUGUGCCAGUUGGAAACUCUUUGAAAACUGAUUUUGAUAAGUGAAUUCAAAUAAACUGUCAUAUCUGCCCCAAUAAAUCAUCCAAAUGUCUAUGAAACCAAACCUAUGUUAUUCAGGAACAAGGAAGGCGGAAGAGCUUAUAUGCAAACAAAUGCCAAACAAAGUUACUGCAUGACGUGAUUUUUUUUUUUUUUAAUUGACCAACCAUAAGAGAAAGCUACUAAAAUGGAUAAUUAUUGUAUAAAAGAUAUAAAGAAGGCC